ensembl:lncRNA
GGUAGCGUCUCUUUUCAGGCCCGAAUGUCACCGAGCAGUGACUAGUUUAUGGUCAAAACCUUGCAGCCAUUUGCCACAGCAGAUGGUUCCUUCAUGUAAUGAUCUGCUAGAGGGUGUGGGGGGCCACUGCCCCGUCCUCCAGGGCAUGACGCAGGUAUGGAGGAGAUCAAAACUCUAGACAUCCAGAGGCCCCCAGAACACAAGAGACCAAGGAAGACCAACAGAGGGGCAGCUGGAUUACUGGAUAUUCUUGUAUAUUCCCUCCUGACUCAAUAACUGCAGAGUUUUAAACCUCCUUUGGCAUUAGCAUCAGCUGAAAAACUGCAUGCCCAGGGCCUCAUGUUACGGGAGACAGACAGCAUGUGAGAGGCAAAUCCCAACAGGAAGGAGGAAGCAUGCCUGUCGCCUCUCAGCUAAUGAUUUGAAAAUGGCCGUGAAGCUACUGAGCAGACGCGCAUGUGGUCUAAGAAUUUCAGCUUAAUUUCAUUACCUACAUUUCUGUUC